GACGGAGGAUGCAAGUGUUAUCCGGAAUCACUGGGCGUAAAGCGUCUGUAGGUGGUUCGAAAAGUCCACUGUUAAAAAUUGAGGCUUAACUUCAAAGAUGCCGUGGAAACUUUCAAACUAGAGUAUGGUAGGGGUAGAGGGAAUUUCCAGUGGAGCGGUGAAAUGCGUAGAUCUUGGAAAGACCACCAAUGGCGAAGGCACUCUACUGGGCCAUGACUGACACUAAGAGACGAAAGCUAGGGGAGCAAAUGGG
rnacentral:rRNA from 1 species